AUUGAACGCUGGCGGCAGGCUUAACACAUGCAAGUCGAGCGGGGUGAUGGUGCUUGCACUAUCACUUAGCGGCGGACGGGUGAGUAAUGCUUAGGAAUCUGCCUAUUAGUGGGGGACAACAUCUCGAAAGGGAUGCUAAUACCGCAUACGUCCUACGGGAGAAAGCAGGGGAUCACUUGUGACCUUGCGCUAAUAGAUGAGCCUAAGUCGGAUUAGCUAGUUGGUGGGGUAAAGGCCUAACAAGGCGACGAUCUGUAGCGGGUCUGAGAGGAAGAUCCGCCACACUGGGACUGGUACACGGCCCAGACUCCUACGGGGGGCAGCAGUGGGGAAUAUUGGACAAUGGGGUGAACCCUGAUCCAGCCAUGCCGCGUGUGUGAAGAAGGCCUUAUGGUUGUAAAGCACUUUGAGCGAGGAGGAGGCUCUUUUGGUUAAUACCCAAGAUGAGUGGACGUUACUCGCAGAAUAAGCACCGGCUAACUCUGUGCCAGCCGCCGCCGUAA
rnacentral:rRNA from 1 species